UGAAGAAAGGUCAGAAGCUCAAUGGCGCCAGU
rnacentral:piRNA from 1 species